AGAGUUUGAUCCUGGCUCAGGACGAACGCUGGCGGCGCGCCUAACACAUGCAAGUCGAACGGAGCUGAGAGGAGCUUGCUUUUCUUAGCUUAGUGGCGAACGGGUGAGUAACGCGUGAGUAACCUGCCCUGGAGUGGGGGACAACAGUUGGAAACGACUGCUAAUACCGCAUAAGCCCACGGCCCGGCAUCGGGCUGGGGGAAAAGGAUUUAUUCGCUUCAGGAUGGACUCGCGUCCAAUUAGCUAGUUGGUGAGGUAACGGCCCACCAAGGCGACGAUUGGUAGCCGGACUGAGAGGUUGAACGGCCACAUUGGGACUGAGACACGGCCCAGACUCCUACGGGAGGCAGCAGUGGGGGAUAUUGCACAAUGGGGGAAACCCUGAUGCAGCGACGCCGCGUGGAGGAAGAAGGUUUUCGGAUUGUAAACUCCUGUCGUUAGGGACGAUAAUGACGGUACCUAACAAGAAAGCACCGGCUAACUACGUGCCAGCAGCCGCGGUAAAACGUAGGGUGCAAGCGUUGUCCGGAAUUACUGGGUGUAAAGGGAGCGCAGGCGGACCGGCAAGUUGGAAGUGAAAACUAUGGGCUCAACCCAUAAAUUGCUUUCAAAACUGCUGGCCUUGAGUAGUGCAGAGGUAGGUGGAAUUCCCGGUGUAGCGGUGGAAUGCGUAGAUAUCGGGAGGAACACCAGUGGCGAAGGCGACCUACUGGGCACCAACUGACGCUGAGGCUCGAAAGCAUGGGUAGCAAACAGGAUUAGAUACCCUGGUAGUCCAUGCCGUAAACGAUGAUUACUAGGUGUUGGAGGAUUGACCCCUUCAGUGCCGCAGUUAACACAAUAAGUAAUCCACCUGGGGAGUACGACCGCAAGGUUGAAACUCAAAGGAAUUGACGGGGGCCCGCACAAGCAGUGGA
rnacentral:rRNA from 1 species